AUAUAGGAACGACAGCGAAGAUAUGCUUUAUUCUAACAGAAUAUGCUUAAUUUUGAAUGAAAGGGGCUCAAAAAUGAUUCCUUUUUCUCGGCAUUAAAUUCGGUGCAACACUAUACCAACCAAACCCAAAACAUAUCCACAAAGAGAUUCUUUACUUUUGUAUCGAACUGCAAGAAGAUUUGAGCUGUUUUUAUUUGUAGCCUUGAGUAUGCAGAGAUUCGUGAAUUUUCGUUAAAAAGUCUAGGUAUCCAAAUCCUUCGCGAGUGUUAUCCUCUACUAAUGUUGAGAAUAUUUCACCUUCACUACCAUCUAAACCCUGGCGUACGAUUUGUGGGUGAAGAGCCAUGCUGGGAAAUUGCAUUCUAAGAGAAGAAAGGAGAUUGCGAACUUGUACAGAAAGAACUGUGUCCAAUGUCGGAAGCUCAAGCGCUUUCAGAGAAUCAAUAUCCUCAAGACUCUCAACACCUAAUAGAUCUUGAAGUAAAAGAGGAGAGGUUCUUUGAUGAAACCAUAAGUAAGACUUUUGGCCAGUGACGAUUAAAAAAGCACCACCAUCCUCAAUGAAUUUUCGAGAUGCUCGAACGCAAAGUGGCAUAUUGAUAGGUAGACAACCCGUAUUUUCAGGGUCAGGAAGACAAUCAGUGGGCUGUAAUUGAUGUAGUGCAUAAAUGUUUGGAUAAAGAUUUAGCAUCAACUCUUGAAUAGGAGCUGCUCUCACCUCUCUGAGCUGUGAAACACGAAUAUCACUAUGAAUGCUUCCACUUCGGAUAGCAGAUGAUUUCAAAACUGCAAGAAUCAAAAUAGGUAAUAACACCAAGUUCUUUGGAAGAACCAGUUGGCCUGGAGUCAAACGAUUAGCAGCAACCUUCCGAUAACUAGAUAAGAUUUUCACGACACCCUCCACUAACCUAACCGAUGUAUCUUUUAAAGAACCCGCUGCAAUAUUUGUCGAUGCAAUUUUAGCUAAAACUGCAACGAUAGGUUCAACAAUGGCAAGAGAAAUCGUAUCGUAGCUUUUAGAAGUGACAGCACAGCAAUAGUUAACAACCCUUACUCUUCUCUCACCAGAAGGAGUGGUAUAUAAAACCGCAGUUUGAAAGUGAGCGUCCAAAGCUCCAUUUAAUUUUCCAUCAUAGGAAAACAGAACUGUUACACUUUUAUCAGCAUCAAGACUGCCAAAUUCGAUAUCUUGUGGAGUUCGUUGCAAGAAGUUGCCUAAAUAUUUGGAGACACGCAG